rnacentral:rRNA from 1 species
UACGGAGGGGGCUAGCGUUGUUCGGAAUUACUGGGCGUAAAGCGCACGUAGGCGGCUUUGCAAGUCAGAGGUGAAAGCCCGGGGCUCAACCCCGGAAUUGCCUUUGAGACUGCAUCGCUAGAAUUGUGGAGAGGUAAGUGGGAAUUCCGAGUGUAGAGGUGAAAUUCGUAGAUAUUCGGAAAGAACACCAGUGGCGAAGGCGACUUACUGGACACAUAUUGACGCUGAGGUGCGAAAGCGUGGGGAGCAAACAGG